UGAUUUAGAUUUUUCUAAUAAAUCUGAGUAGAAACAUUCGGUUCGACCGAACCGACCCAAUAAAUACAUUCCCAGUCGCCCAGGCCAAAUAGGAAUACAUUCGGUAUUCAAUUGAAUCGAUUCCACUAUUCCAGCAUGAGCAUCAAUGGCAUUUCUUUUCGACACGUGGCCUUGGUAAUUGAUGUUUCUUUUCUUUUCAACGCGCCUUAAUGGCUAAUGCCAUUUCAUUUCUUUUCAACUUCUCACCGUUUCACGCAUUCGUCUCGUCACCGUCAGCGUGUCACGCCUUACCGAGCAAUGCCGUUUCAACUUUCUUUUCCUUCCUUUCUGAGUCCAACUCCAACUUUCCUUUCCUCCCUUCUUGUCUUCAUAUCUCAGUGAACUCGAAGUCCCUAAUCGACUAAAUUUUAAUCCCUCUCCGUCCGACUUCCAAGUCCAGCUCUUCGUUUCAUAUCCAUUAUCUCCCUCUCCGAGCCUCUUCCUUUUCGACGUCGGCCACAACCAUUAGUAGUCAGAUGUCAGCCACAACCAUUAUCCCAUUCUCACAGACUCACAUUGCUUCAUUGGUUACUGAUGAAAAAUAGUGUGUUGAUCGACAAUGAAUCACCAACUAUAAAUAUUCCUGUUCCCGAUGCAUGUUCUAAACCAUCGAAAAUGACAGUCAUUAGUAAGAGAAAACCAACUAGGCUAUCAUCUUCAGUGUAGGAUCACUUUACAAGGAUGGAAAGAUCUAAUACCGAAGGUAUAAGAUGCAAAUGUAAUUAUUGUGAUAAAGAUUAUACUUGUGACACUCUUCAUGCGGAACUAGUACCUAAUGAAAAUAUUUGUGAAAACAAUGCAAAAAUUAUCCAUUUAGAGAGCAACCUAAAGGGCAAACCAUACUAAAAUUUCAAUUGAAUGAAAUUGAUGCAAAAUGUGUUAUCAAUAUGAAUUUUUUGUCUAUUGCCAUUAGUCAACAAAGAGUUAGAAAUGCAUAUACUAAGAUGCUAGUAUUGUUUGAGGUACCAUUUAGAUUUGUAGAAACAGAGGGGUUUAAAGAAUUUUGUAAUAUUGCAUGUCCUAAGUUUGACAUUCCUUCAAGAAUCACAAUUGCUAGGGAUAUUUAUCAGCUGUAUGUGGAUGAAAAAAAUUGUUGAAAUCAACUUUAAUCAAAAGUGGUCAAAGAGUGAGUCUAACAACAGAUACUUGGACUUCCCUACAGAACAUCAAUUAUAUGGUUCUUGCAGCACAUUUUGUUGAUUCUGAAUGGAAUUUACAUAAAAGAAUAUUGAAUUUUUGUCAAGUGCCUAAUCAUAAGGGAGAGACAAUUGGUAAAGUAAUUGAAUGUUGUUUAUUGGAUUGGAGUAUUGAUAAAGCUUUUUCAAUUAUUGUUGAUAAUGCAACUUCAAAGGAUUCAGCAAUCUCAUAUAUGAAGAGAAAACUAAAGAUUUGGAAGUUUCUUAUUUUGGAUGGUGAAUUAUAGCAUAUGAGAUGUUGUGAUCAUAUUAUGAACUUGAUUGUCAAUGAUGGAUUGAAAGAAUUGCAUGAUUUGAUAGAUAGUAUACGAAAUGUUGUAAGAUAUAUUAGAUCUUCUCCUAAGCGAUUGAAAAAUUUUUGAGAUUGUGUUGGACAUGAAAAGAUUGAAUCUAAAGCCCUUAUUUGUCUGGAUGUGUCUACAAGAUAGAAUUCAACAUAUUUGAUGCUUGAUCAUGCUUUAAAUUUUGAAAAGGUUUUUCAAUGCUUAGAAGAAGAGGAUGAAGAUUUGUACAUCACUUUACUGAAGAUGAGAAUGGAAAGAAAAGAAAGGAACCACCGAUCUUGGCCGAUUGGAACCAUGUUUGAACAUUUGUCAAAUUUUUUAAGAUGUUUUAUGAUCUUACAUUGAAGGUUAAUGGCUCAACUUAUGUCACUUCUAGUACAUUUUUUCAUAAACUUUGUGGGAUUCAACGACGUUUAAUAGGUUGGAGCCAAAAUGUAAAUAGUGUGAUAUAUACUAUGGCUUCCAAUAUGAGAAUGAAAUUUAAUAAGUAUUGGGGAUCUCUUGACAAGAUGAACAAAGUGUUGUUUCUAGCUAUUAUGCUUGAUUCACGAUAUAAGUUGGAUUAUGUGUCCUUUUAUUUCAUAAGUAUCUAUGGGGAUGGAGUUGCUAGGACAAUGACUGAUGAGGUGAAAGUUAGUUUGAUGCAAUUGUAUGAGUUUUAUAAGACAAGUGAUAUCAAGUGGUCAUGCUUUUGAACAACCAUGUCACAUAGUUGAAAUAAGUGAGGAUUGUGAUAACAUAGAAAUAGAUUUACAGUUGGAAUAAGAAGAAAGAAGAAAAGAGAAAAAUUUGAAUGAAACAAGAAAUGAUGUGGAGAGAUAUUUGUCAGAACCUAAUGAAGAUCUGAUAGAAAAUUUUGAUAUUUUGAAUUGGUGGAAAUUAAAUGCUCCUGAAUACAAAGUUUUAUCACAAGUUGCUCGAGAUGUCUUACCUGUACCAAUGUCAACAAUUGCUUAUGAAUUAGCAUUUAUUACAGAAGGUAGAAUAUUUGACUCUUUUAGAAGUUCUUUAAGUCCUAAGAUGGUUGAGGCUUUAAUAUGUACACAAAAUUGGCUAUGUGCGAAGACGAUGUUAUUAGAUCUUACUCCACAAACUAAAGAAUUGGAAACUUGUGAUCAAGUUUUAUCAGGGUUCUUCAAGGAGCAAGUUUUUUCUGGAUCAUGAAUGGGUCGUUGAAAUCUAUUGGAUUUUGAAGACUUUUGUAGAUAUUAUAGUCUUACUUAUAGAUUUGGUAGACAUUUGAGAACAUCAUCGCCUAUGUUUUGAAUUUUGUAGACAUUAUGGUCUUUCUUGUGAAUUUUGGAGACUUGUUUUGUUAUAAUAGA